GUCUCAGAGAAGAUUAGCAUGGCCCCUGAGCAAGGAUGACACAUAAAUUUGUGAAGCAUUCCAUAUUAAA
rnacentral:snRNA from 1 species